ACUCCUACGGGAGGCAGCAGUGGGGAAUAUUGCACAAUGGGCGCAAGCCUGAUGCAGCAACGCCGCGUGAGCGAUGAAGGCCUUCGGGUCGUAAAGCUCUGUCCUCAAGGAAGAAUAAAUGACGGUACUUGAGGAGGAAGCCCCGGCUAACUACGUGCCAGCAGCCGCGGUAAUACGUAGGGGCAAGCGUUAUCCGGAAUCACUGGGCGUAAAGGGUGCGUAGGCGGUUUUCAAGUCAGAAGUGAAAGGCUAUGGCUCAACCAUAGUAAGCUUUUGAAACUGUUAAACUUGAGUGCAGGAGAGGAAAGUGGAAUUCCUAGUGUAGAGGUGAAAUUCGUGGAUAUUAGGAGGAACACCAGUGGCGAAGGCGACUUUCUGGACUGUAACUGACGCUGAGGCACGAAAGCGUGGGAGCGAACAGGAUUAGAUACCCUGGUAGCACAGAG
rnacentral:rRNA from 1 species